rnacentral:rRNA from 12 species
UUCUCAAACUUUAAAUGUGUAAGAAGUCCUUGUUACUUGAGUGAACGUGGACAUGCGAAUGAGAGUUUCUAGUGGGCCAUUUUUGGUAAGCAGAACUGGCGAUGCGGGAUGAACCGAUCGUGAGGUUAAGGUGCCGGAAUACACGCUCAUCAGACACCACAAAAGGUGUUAGUUCAUCUAGACAGCCGGACGGUGGCCAUGGAAGUCGGAAUC